rnacentral:rRNA from 1 species
CCUACGGGAGGCAGCAGUGGGGAAUUUUGGACAAUGGGCGCAAGCCUGAUCCAGCAAUGCCGCGUGCAGGAAGAAGGCCUUCGGGUUGUAAAUCUUGAGAACCGAGUACGCGGUACCUGAAGAAUAAGCACCGGCUAACUACGUGCCAGCAGCCGCGGUAAUACGUAGGGUGCGAGCGUUAAUCGGAAUUACUGGGCGUAAAGCGUGCGCAGGCGGCUUUGCAAGACAGAUGUGAAAUCCCCGGGCUCAACCUGGGAACUGCAUUUGUGACUGCAAGGCUAGAGUACGGUAGAGGGGGAUGGAAUUCCGCGUGUAGCAGUGAAAUGCGUAGAUAUGCGGAGGAACACCAAUGGCGAAGGCAAUCCCCUGGACUGACUGACGCUCAUGCACGAAAGCGUGGGGAGCAAACAGGAUUAGAUACCCUUGUAGUC